GGCCCUGAUCACCAGGACUGGGCCAGGCCAAAGCCAGGAGCUUCUUGGGGUUCUCCCACGUGAGUGCAGGGCCCCAAGGACCUGGACCAUCUUCCGUUGCUUUCCCAGGUGCAUUAGCAGGAAGCUGUAUUGGAAGAGGAGCAGCUGGGACUCGAACUGAUGCCCAUAUGGGGUGCCCACGCUGUAGAUGGUGGCUUCACCCACUAUACCACAGUGCCAGCCCCUCGGCUGCUUUUUUUUAAUGACCUUUUCUUCAUCUGUCCUUUUCCUAGUUCUUUGGCUCCAUUUUUGGUUUUGCUCUUCGCUGAUUGCCGUAAUCUUUGUUUCGUCGAAGAGGGCUGAUGACAGAGCUUCAGAUGAGCUGAACUUUCUCUGUUUCAGGCCUCUCCCACACCCCUGAUGCUUGUGGGUGAAGCCACUCUGCCAGGCCAGUCCUGCUGGCCACCGGGUGGGUGGCAUGGACUCUUCCUGCAUGUCCUGUGGUCAGGGCGCCAGCCAGAAUGAGCCUCGGGUCACUCGGGUCGCCCUGUGGAAGUCUGGGCCAGGGUUUGUGAAACACCAGCUCCAUGUACGACACUGGGCUCGGUGUCUGCAAUUCACUUCAGUUCCCACACUGACUGCCUGGACUUGGUGUAGACCCCACUGGUCGAGCCUGGGCCCCCCAAGAUGCCUCACUUCCGGUGAGUCUUCGGAAUAUUCAUGGAAGUGCAUGGCAUGAAAAAAAAUCUUUGGAUUUUGAAUCUUUUACACCAAAAUUUAUUAUUCUUACUGGUUUUUGAGAGAGCAGGAGACAGGAAAAUCUCCCACUUGCUGGGACACCCUCAUGAAUGCCUGAGGGGCCAGGCACUGAAGCUGGGAGCCAGGAGUCAACCCAGGACUCCUGCAUGGGUGGCAGGGACCCAACUCCUUGGGCCAGCACUGCCACUGCCCAGGGUCUGCGUUAGCUGGAAAGUGGAGUCAGGAGCCAGAGCUGGGUGUUGGAGUCAGGAGCCAGAGCUGGGUGUCGAGUUCAGGCACCGCCAUAUGGCACGUGGGGGUCUGCACUGCUAGGCCACACACCUACAGCUGAAUUUAUCCUGUAGUUCUCGUCUCCGUGAACACUUGAAAUGCUUGUACUUCUGACUGCUUGACUGUCAGUCAGGGCUUCCCCGCCCCCUUUGUAAAUUCAGAGAUUGGCUAAGCCUGGUUAGGAUGGCCCGCAGACCUCAGGAAGGCCACUGUGUGGGCACAGCUGAUUCCAUCACGGGCACUGGAGGUGGGCCCUGGCUCCCCGUGCUCCCCAGAGCUGGGCACUGGAGGUGGGCCCCGGCUCCCCGUGCUCCCCAGAGCUGGGCACUGGAGGUGGGCCCCGGCUCCCCGUGCUCCCCAGAGCUGGGCACUGGAGGUGGGCCCCGGCUCCCUGUGCUCCCCAGAGCUGGGCACUGGAGGUGGGCCCUGGCUCCCUGUGCUCCCCAGAGCUGGGCACUGGAGGUGGGCCCUGGCUCCCUGUGUUCCCCAGAGCUGGGCACUGGAGGUGGGCCCUGGCUCCCUGUGCUCCCCAGAGCUGGGCACUGGAGGUGGGCCCUGACUCCCUGUGCUCCCCAGAGCUGGGCACUGGAGGUGGGCCCUGACUCCCUGUGCUCCCCAGAGCUGGGCACUGGAGGUGGGCCCUGGCUCCCUGUGUUCCCCAGAGCUGGGCACUGGAGGUGGGCCCUGGCUCCCUGUGCUCCCCAGAACUGGGCACUGGAGGUGGGCCCCGGCUCCCUGUGCUCCCCAGAGCUGGGCACUGGAGGUGGGCCCCGGCUCCCUGUGCUCCCCAGAGCUGGGCACUGGAGGUGGGCCCUGGCUCCCUGUGUUCCCCAGAGCUGGGCACUGGAGGUGGGUCCUGGCUCCCCAUGCUCCCCAGAGCUGGGCACUGGAGGUGGGCCCCGGCUCCCUGUGCUCCCCAGAGCUGGGCACUGGAGGUGGGCCCUGACUCCCCGUGCUCCCCAGAGCUGGGCACUGGAGGUGGGUCCUGGCUCCCUGUGCUCCCCAGAGCUGGGCACUGGAGGUGGGCCCGGCUCCCUGUGCUCCCCAGAGCUGGGUGUUGGAGGUGGGCCCUGACUCACU